AUUGAACGCUGGCGGCAGGCUUAACACAUGCAAGUCGAGCGAGAGGAGGACGGGUGAGUAAUGUCUGGGAAACUGCCUGAUGGAGGGGGAUAACGACGGGAAAAGGUAGCUAAUACCGCAAACCAUCAGAUGUGCCCAGGUGGGAUUAGCUAGUAGGUGGGGUAAUGGCUCACCUAGGGGCCGAUCCCUAGCUGGUCUGAGAGGAGGACCAGCCACACUGGAACUGAGGCACGUCACAGACUCCUACGGGAGGCAGCAGUGGGGAAUAUUGCCCAAUGGGCGCAAGCCUGAUGCAGCCAUGCCGCGUGUGUGAAGAAGGCCUUCGGGUUGUAAAGCUCUGUCAGCAAGGAGGCGUUACUCGCAGAAGAAGCACCGGCUAACUCCGUGCCAGCAGCCGCGGUAAUUC
rnacentral:rRNA from 1 species